rnacentral:rRNA from 1 species
UCGGGUUGUAAAGCACUUUUGUCCGGAAAGAAAACCUUUGGGCUAAUACCCUGAGGGGAUGACGGUACCGGAAGAAUAAGCACCGGCUAACUACGUGCCAGCAGCGCGGUAAUCGUAGGGUGCGAGCGUUAAUCGGAAUUACUGGGCGUAAAGCGUGCGCAGGCGGUUCGUUAAGACAGAUGUGAAAUCCCCGGGCUUAACCUGGGAACUGCAUUUGUGACUGGCGAGCUAGAGUAUGGCAGAGGGGGGUAGAAUUCCACGUGUAGCAGUGAAAUGCGUAGAGAUGUGGAGGAAUACCGAUGGCGAAGGCAGCCCCCUGGGCCAAUACUGACGCUCAUGCACGAAAGCGUGGGGAGCAAACAGGAUUAGAUACCCUGGUAGUCCACGCCCUAAACGAUGUCAACUAGUUGUUGGGGAUUCAUUUCCUUAGUAACGUAGCUAACGCGUGAAGUUGACCGCCUGGGGAGUACGGUCGCAAGAUUAAAACUCAAAGGAAUUGACGGGGACCCGCACAAGCGGUGGAUGAAGUGGGAUUAAUUCGAUGCAACGCGAAAAACCUUACCUACCCUUGACAUGGUCGGAACCUGCUG